GAAAGGCUUCGGCCGGACAGGGAUGGGCAUGCGGCGCAUUAGGCAGUAGGCGGGGUAACGGCCCACCUAACCGACGAUGCGUAGGGGUUCUGAGAGGAAGGUCCCCCACACUGGUACUGAGACACGGACCAGACUCCUACGGGAGGCAGCAGUGAGGAAUAUUGGUCAAUGGUCGGGAGACUGAACCAGCCAAGCCGCGUGAGGGAUGAAGGUACAGAGUAUCGUAAACCUCUUUUGUCAGGGAACAAAGGCGGGGACGUGUCCCCGGAUGAGUGUACCUGAAGAAAAAGCAUCGGCUAACUCCGUGCCAGCAGCCGCGGUAAUACGGAGGAUGCGAGCGUUAUCCGGAUUUAUUGGGUUUAAAGGGUGCGCAGGCGGUCUGUUAAGUCAGCGGUCAAAGCCCGGGGCUCAACCCCGGCCCGCCGUUGAAACUGGCAGUCUCGAGUUGGAGAGAAGUAUGCGGAAUGCGCGGUGUAGCGGUGAAAUGCAUAGAUAUCGCGCAGAACUCCGAUUGCGAAGGCAGCAUGCCGGCUCCACACUGACGCUGAGGCACGAAAGCGUGGGUAUCGAACAGGAUUAGAUACCCUGGUAGUCCACGCAGUAAACGAUGAAUGCUGGCUGUCCGGGGGGGACUGACCCCUGG
rnacentral:rRNA from 1 species